rnacentral:rRNA from 1 species
ACAUGCAAGUCGAGCGGACAGAUGGGAGCUUGCUCCCUGAUGUYAGCGGCGGACGGGUGAGUAACACGUGGGUAACCUGCCUGUAAGACUGGGAUAACUCCGGGAAACCGGGGCUAAUACCGGAUGCUUGAUUGAACCGCAUGGUUCAAUUAUAAAAGGUGGCUUUUAGCUACCACUUACAGAUGGACCCGCGGCGCAUUAGCUAGUUGGUGAGGUAACGGCUCACCAAGGCAACGAUGCGUAGCCGACCUGAGAGGGUGAUCGGCCACACUGGGACUGAGACACGGCCCAGACUCCUACGGGAGGCAGCAGUAGGGAAUCUUCCGCAAUGGACGAAAGUCUGACGGAGCAACGCCGCGUGAGUGAUGAAGGUUUUCGGAUCGUAAAACUCUGUUGUUAGGGAAGAACAAGUACCGUUCGAAUAGGGCGGUACCUUGACGGUACCUAACCAGAAAGCCACGGCUAACUACGUGCCAGCAGCCGCGGUAAUACGUAGGUGGCAAGCGUUGUCCGGAAUUAUUGGGCGUAAAGCGCGCGCAGGCGGUUUCUUAAGUCUGAUGUGAAAGCCCCCGGCUCAACCGGGGAGGGUCAUUGGAAACUGGGGAACUUGAGUGCAGAAGAGGAGAGUGGAAUUCCACGUGUAGCGGUGAAAUGCGUAGAGAUGUGGAGGAACACCAGUGGCGAAGGCGACUCUCUGGUCUGUAACUGACGCUGAGGCGCGAAAGCGUGGGGAGCGAACAGGAUUAGAUACCCUGGUAGUCCACGCCGUAAACGAUGAGUGCUAAGUGUUAGAGGGUUUCCGCCCUUUAGUGCUGCAGCAAACGCAUUAAGCACUCCGCCUGGGGAGUACGGUCGCAAGACUGAAACUCAAAGGAAUUGACGGGGGCCCGCACAAGCGGU